rnacentral:rRNA from 1 species
AAUAUUGCACAAUGGGGGAAACCCUGAUGCAGCCAUGCCGCGUGUGUGAAGAAGGCCUUCGGGUUGUAAAGCACUUUCAGUAGGGAGGAAGGUAGUGUAGUUAACACCUGCACUAUUUGACGUUACCUACAGAAGAAGCACCGGCUAACUCCGUGCCAGCAGCCGCGGUAAUACGGAGGGUGCGAGCGUUAAUCGGAAUUACUGGGCGUAAAGCGCAUGCAGGCGGCCUGUUAAGUCAGAUGUGAAAGCCCGGGGCUUAACCUCGGAAUUGCAUUUGAAACUGGCAGGCUAGAGUCUUGUAGAGGGGGUAGGAAUUUCAGGUGUAGCGGUGAAAUGCGUAGAGAUCUGAAGGAAUACCAGUGGCGAAGGCGGCCCCCUGGACAGAUACUGACACUCAGAUGCGAAAGCGUGGGGAGCAAACAGGAUUAGAUACCCUGGUAG